AACACAGUCUCACUCUCUACUCGUCAAAUGUCUGACGCAUGGUCAAGUGAUCUGGCGUCACUUUUUUGACGCACUGGGUAUACCUUUGGCGUUAUUUUUCAACGUGCAGGUUAGUCCGAUAGACUUCUAUAGAACUCAGCAGCGUUUAAAUUUGACGUCUUGGUUCAGCACACCGCAACUACACUGAAUAAAUAAAAAUAAAUAAUAGGCUACAAAAAAAAUUAUAUAUGACAGAGAUCGUUUUUAUCUGGCCCUCCAACUUGUUUUUGAGGUUUAAAUAUUCUCGCAAUCUGAUAUCAAAGUGAUCUCUGUGCCAAAGCUUAGCGCGUUCAUCAGUGGUGAGUUUAACAACACUCAACUGCAGGUAAAACAGCACUCAGCGGUGAGUUUGACCAAAGCAACGCUCAACUGCAGGGAAAACGACAUAAAAGUUCAUCAUCUCUAUGAAAUCACGUUCAAGAAGUCUCAUUCAGCACACAUCGCGAUACUUGCCAUCAGUUUCCAUGUGCCACAGGGUCGAUGUAAAGGAAGCAGUCAUCCCUGUGGUGUUUGUGGAGAGGUUUUCCUUCAGAAAUGGAGAAGACUGAAAGCUGCGGAGGCAGACAUUUGCAGCAGGAAGUCUGUGUUGGUUUUACCUUUUUAUCAAACUGCUGUUAUAAAUUGCACAGCAUUUGUUGUUUCUUAAACUUUUGCACUGUCCAAAUACCCACACUUACCAUCUUUGCACUUGACCAAUCGAUUAUUUAUUUGACGUAUUUCCUAUGUUUAGGCCAAGUGUUCGAGUGAGCAUGGUGACCACAAGUGUGUGUCGAACUUUUCAUGACCUGAUGACAGUGGUUCCCAAUCCUGAUCCUGGAGAACCCAGCACUGCACGGUUUUGGCGUCUCUCUUAUCUCACAAACACACUUUUGAGGUCUUGGA